rnacentral:sRNA from 1 species
UGUAUUGUGGCUUACCGUACGUUGUGU